ensembl:lncRNA
AUGUCUGGGCUGCACGCUGGGCAGUCAAAGUGGUCCUCCUGGCAUAAUUUGUCCACUUCGAAUCGGACAGCUUCCCACUCCAAGAAGCUUUUUCCGGAGGAACUCGCUGUAUGUCGUCAUGGGGUUCUCCUUCGUGCCCUCAAUAUGUUCAGGGGGGAGAUUUUUGCCUACCCCCUGUACCUCCAAAAGCAAAUGGCCUGUAAGCCAGUUAAAUUUUUUGCAAUGGAUGUGGCAUGCAAGUACUGGCCUUACCUCCAGAGAGUGACAGAGAAAUGCCCUGAGCUUGAGGAUCUCCUCACCAUGAGGCCAUUUCUUUCUGUUUUUCAUGCCAAAGCUCAUGAUUUCAAAUGUGAGGUAAGAAAAAAUGAUUGUCCAUGAUAUUUUCUUUCCCUAAAAAUCCUGCAUAAGAUUGUUGCCACUUAGGUUUUGUUUUUUUGUUUUCUUUUUUUAAAGGUAAAAUGGAGUGGAGCAUAUCAGGAGGGGCUGGUUCGACUCUUGGGGAAGAGGUGGAGCAGUGCAACGCCUUCCUCUCGAGGAUUGCUGUUACGACAAAGCACAUGUCAAAAAGCAGGUAAGGUAACCAGUAAAUUUUGAUCCUGAUGACAUGGGUGAGCCACUUAUGCAUACAUGCUGACUCUGAAAAUAUAAAGAUCAGAAUAUAUUAAACACAAAUGGAUGGAUCGAUUACAAUAACAUCAUCCUAUUUUAUUUGACGUGAGGAUAAUAAGGAAGGGCAGUGCGAUAUAAAAAAAACACAUCCAAGUACCAUUCACCUACUGUCCUGCCAUAGUGCUCCAUACCAUUU